ACGAACGCUGGCGGCGUGCUUAACACAUGCAAGUCGAACGGGACUGAUUGAAAGCUUGACUUUGAAAAGUCUAGUGGCAAACGGGUGAGUAACGCGUAGGCAACCUGCCUCUAAGAUGGGGACAACAGUCCGAAAGGACUGCUAAUACCGAAUGUUGUGAGUUUUCCGCAUGGGAGACUCAUUGAAGAUGGCCUCUACUUGUAAGCUAUCACUUAGAGAUGGGCCUGCGUCUGAUUAGCUGGUUGGUGGGGUAACGGCCCACCAAGGCGACGAUCAGUAGCCGGUCUGAGAGGAUGAACGGCCACAUUGGGACUGAGACACGGCCCAGACUCCUACGGGAGGCAGCAGUGGGGAAUCUUCCGCAAUGGGCGAAAGCCUGACGGAGCAACGCCGCGUGAAGUGAAGAAGGUCUUCGGAUCGUAAAGCUCUGUCGAAGGGGACGAACGUGGGUUCUAUCAACAACGGAACCUAAUGACGGUACCUUUCAAGAAAGCCACGGCUAACUACGUGCCAGCCGCAGC
rnacentral:rRNA from 1 species